rnacentral:sRNA from 20 species
AUCCCGCGGGCAAUCUAAAACUAAAACGAUACAGGAGGAUAAGCGUAUG